CCUUGGUAUCUGACCCGGAUCCGCUGCCCAAAUCUAUUGUCUUGAUUUUUAUAUUUGAAAUUUUUAUUCUGCCCUUCAUACCACCGUCUCUCUCUACCAACCAUCGGUCUCACCAACCCUAUCUCCUUUUCAUUGAUUUUGAUUUCAAUCGUGAUUUCAAUUGAAUGAUAUCGUUUCACUGUCAACAGUUAGGAUGGAAUUCAUCUUAUUCAGUUACCCGUUUUUGUUUAAACAACCCCAAAAUCCUCGUUCUUCUUGCAUAUGUCAUUCAGCGUUCUCUAACCCCAACCCUCACCAUUGCCGGAAGAUACCAAUGGUUUGAUCCGUAAUACAUUGCAACAAAGCCGAGAUUUAGGCUGAGGGUGUUUUUAAUCAAAGGAUUCAGAAUUUGGCUCUUACCCUCGACAAGGUGAGAUAUAUGAUGACAAACGUGUUUGGAGAUCCAAAACGCGCACCACCAUUAUUAGAGCGACUUAGUCCGAAAGAAGUAGUUUCUCAUAUCUGGAAAGGUGAGGGAUCGUUUGUCGAGGAACUUAUUCAAUGCAUUGCACCUCAUUUGGAAGAUGGACACCUAAGGGAAGUAUGGUCCAGCAUUCGGGCGCACGACCCAUCUUCUUCCGAUGACGUCCUAGGGGCUCUUCGAAAAUCCUUAAUAUGGUAAACAAUGUUGUUCCUCCCAAAACGGGUUGGGUUGACGGUUUCCCCAUCAACAUUUUUACCAAGUUAUUUCUAUC